rnacentral:lncRNA from 1 species
AUGCAUGUGCUUCCUCUUCAGGGGAAGGAAAUACUGCAAAAAAAAAGAAGCAUCUCAGAUGUGGGAUCUUUAAGACGUGUGUUCUGCCUGUUGAGCAGGUGCUUGGGGUUUGCUGGACCGAUGAAGUGUGGUCAGUUUCUGCAAGGGUCUGGACUUGUUUCCCGCAGCCCUGGCAGUGGCCGUGUGGUGGCUGAGCAGACAGAACCAACGCCCGUGGGUGUUUGGCCAGCUGGCCCUGGCCUCCCACUAGGCCGUCAAAGACGCCUUCUGGAACUGGCGGCCACCUUGGCCCACUCGUUAUCCAGCAGGAUAAUAAAUGCAGACAGCAGAGCAAGCAUCUCUGGUUGAUACUCAGCUGCUGCCCCUGCUUCCUGGAGCAGGAGGGCUUGGGGAAGGGGACCCCGAGCCCCUUGUCCCGAGCGCCCCAGUGCAGGGAGGGCAGCAGGCAGCGGAGGACGGGGCAGGAGGCAAGAGGACGGCCACCUGGGCCCUGAGGAGGGACCCAGGCCGGGGAGCCUGGUGGCGGAAUUGGGGAGCCCAGCCAGCCACCCCAGGAGUGCAGGCUGAGUCCUCUGGUGCCCUCUCUUAAACAACUGGAAGAAGCAGGUAAGUCCCUCAAUGCAUUCUUGUGACCCAAGAGACUAAGACGUCUUAGCCUGUGAUCAGCCCACCGGACUGAUGCGUCUCCUGCCCUUUACACUAAUCCUCCACCCCAGGUGCCUUUCCACACUCGGCUCCCCGGCGCCCAGUCACCACCGCCCAGUGCCGCAGGCCCCUGGGGCACAAGGAGCAGGGCGCGUACUGUGUGGUUGAUGUGGGUGGUGUGUGGGGGUCAGGGGAGAUCCUGCAGGGGGGUCCAGGCCCAGCCUCUGCCCUCACUGUGAGCACUACACGCCCACGGCAUCUGCUGGGGCCCGGGGGCCAGGACUAAAGUUCCUGGAGCCCUGGCACCCCUGACCCCUGCGGAGCCUCCUCUUCUGGGGACCUUGUGCUGCACCUGCAACUUCCUUGUUCAGUUCAUCAUUUCUCCUGCUCUUGGACUGAGGUGUGUGUCUAACCCCAUGACACACACAUCCACCCUCUCCUGUUUUUAGACUAGACUGUUAGCAGGCCUCAGCCGUGGACGUGGACGUGCGACGUCCGGUGCAGAGGGUCCUCGUCCUGGGCGUAAAAGGGCGUGGGCGGCGGGGUGAGCCGGCCCUGGGAGCCCUGUGCUUCCGGGGACUGGCUGCCGGCUGGCUCUGCACCGAGUCAACAAGCAGGACAAGUCCGGGGCCCGGAGAGGCCUCCACCCAUCACCCCAGGAAAGGCCCAGUGCCGCCCCGUCCUGGAGCCGCGGCCUGGAUGU